AAGUCGAACGGUAGCAGGUCCUUCGGGAUGCUGACGAGUGGCGGACGGGUGAGUAACGCGUAGGAACUUGCCCACUAGAGGGGGAUACCAGUUGGAAACGGCUGUUAAUACCGCAUAUUGCCUUAGGGUGAAAGGUGGCUUUGGCUGUCGCUAGUGGAGAGGCCUGCGUUGGAUUAGCUAGUUGGUGUGGUAAAGGCUCACCAAGGCUACGAUCCAUAGCUGUUUUGAGAGGAAGAUCAGCCACACUGGGACUGAGACACGGCCCAGACUCC
rnacentral:rRNA from 2 species